rnacentral:rRNA from 1 species
GACGAACGCUGGCGGCGUGCUUAACACAUGCAAGUCGAACGGAAAGGCCCUGCUUUUGUGGGGUGCUCGAGUGGCGAACGGGUGAGUAACACGUGAGUAACCUGCCCUUGACUUUGGGAUAACUUCAGGAAACUGGGGCUAAUACCGGAUAGGAGCUCCUGCUGCAUGGUGGGGGUUGGAAAGUUUCGGCGGUUGGGGAUGGACUCGUGGCCUAUCAGCUUGUUGGUGGGGUAGUGGCUUACCAAGGCUUUGACGGGUAGCCGGCCUGAGAGGGUGACCGGCCACAUUGGGACUGAGAUACGGCCCAGACUCCUACGGGAGGCAGCAGUGGGGAAUAUUGCACAAUGGGCGGAAGCCUGAUGCAGCAACGCCGCGUGCGGGAUGACGGCCUUCGGGUUGUAAACCGCUUUCGCCUGUGACGAAGCGUGAGUGACGGUAAUGGGUAAAGAAGCACCGGCUAACUACGUG